UACAGAGGGUGCGAGCGUUGUCCGGAAUCACUGGGCGUAAAGGGCGCGUAGGCGGCUCGGUCAGCGUGCGGUGAAAGCCCGGGGCUCAACCCCGGGUCGGCCGUGCGAACUGCCGAGCUGGAGCACUGUAGAGGCAGGUGGAAUUCCGGGUGUAGCGGUGGAAUGCGUAGAGAUCCGGAAGAACACCGGUGGCGAAGGCGGCCUGCUGGGCAGUUGCUGACGCUGGAGGCGCGACAGCGUGG
rnacentral:rRNA from 1 species